GAUGAACGCUGGCGGCGUGCCUAAUACAUGCAAGUCGAGCGAACGGACGAGAAGCUUGCUUCUCUGAUGUUAGCGGCGGACGGGUGAGUAACACGUGGAUAACCUACCUAUAAGACUGGGAUAACUUCGGGAAACCGGAGCUAAUACCGGAUAAUAUUUUGAACCGCAUGGUUCAAAAGUGAAAGACGGUCUUGCUGUCACUUAUAGAUGGAUCCGCGCUGCAUUAGCUAGUUGGUAAGGUAACGGCUUACCAAGGCAACGAUGCAUAGCCGACCUGAGAGGGUGAUCGGCCACACUGGAACUGAGACACGGUCCAGACUCCUACGGGAGGCAGCAGUAGGGAAUCUUCCGCAAUGGGCGAAAGCCUGACGGAGCAACGCCGCGUGAGUGAUGAAGGUCUUCGGAUCGUAAAACUCUGUUAUUAGGGAAGAACAUAUGUGUAAGUAACUGUGCACAUCUUGACGGUACCUAAUCAGAAAGCCACGGCUAACUACGUGCCAGCAGCCGCGGUAAUACGUAGGUGGCAAGCGUUAUCCGGAAUUAUUGGGCGUAAAGCGCGCGUAGCGGUUUUUUAGUCUGAUGUGAAAGCCCACGGCUCAACCGUGGAGGGUCAUUGGAAACUGGAAAACUUGAGUGCAGAAGAGGAAAGUGGAAUUCCAUGUGUAGCGGUGAAAUGCGCAGAGAUAUGGAGGAACACCAGUGGCGAAGGCGACUUUCUGGUCUGUAACUGACGCUGAUGUGCGAAAGCGUGGGGAUCAAACAGGAUUAGAUACCCUGGUAGUCCACGCCGUAAACGAUGAGUGCUAAGUGUUAGGGGGUUUCCGCCCCUUAGUGCUGCAGCUAACGCAUUAAGCACUCCGCCUGGGGAGUACGACCGCAAGGUUGAAACUCAAAGGAAUUGACGGGGACCCGCACAAGCGGUGGAGCAUGUGGUUUAAUUCGAAGCAACGCGAAGAACCUUACCAAAUCUUGACAUCCUUUGACAACUCUAGAGAUAGAGCCUUCCCCUUCGGGGGACAAAGUGACAGGUGGUGCAUGGUUGUCGUCAGCUCGUGUCGCGAGAUGUUGGGUUAAGUCCCGCAACGAGCGCAACCCUUAAGCUUAGUUGCCAUCAUUAAGUUGGGCACUCUAAGUUGACUGCCGGUGACAAACCGGAGGAAGGUGGGGAUGACGUCAAAUCAUCAUGCCCCUUAUGAUUUGGGCUACACACGUGCUACAAUGGACAAUACAAAGGGCAGCGAAACCGCGAGGUCAAGCAAAUCCCAUAAAGUUGUUCUCAGUUCGGAUUGUAGUCUGCAACUCGACUACAUGAAGCUGGAAUCGCUAGUAAUCGUAGAUCAGCAUGCUACGGUGAAUACGUUCCCGGGUCU
rnacentral:rRNA from 1 species